rnacentral:rRNA from 1 species
UGCAGUCGAGCGGAUGAAGGUAGCUUGCUACUGGAUUCAGCGGCGGACGGGUGAGUAAUGCUUAGGAAUCUGCCUAUUAGUGGGGGACAACGUUCCGAAAGGGGCGCUAAUACCGCAUACGUCCUACGGGAGAAAGCAGGGGACCUUUGGGCCUUGCGCUAAUAGAUGAGCCUAAGUCGGAUUAGCUAGUUGGUAGGGUAAAGGCCUACCAAGGCGACGAUCUGUAGCGGGUCUGAGAGGAUGAUCCGCCACACUGGGACUGAGACACGGCCCAGACUCCUACGGGAGGCAGCAGUGGGGAAUAUUGGACAAUGGGGGGAACCCUGAUCCAGCCAUGCCGCGUGUGUGAAGAAGGCCUUUUGGUUGUAAAGCACUUUAAGCGAGGAGGAGGCUACCUAGAUUAAUACUUUAGGAUAGUGGACGUUACUCGCAGAAUAAGCACCGGCUAACUCUGUGCCAGCAGCCGCGGUAAUACAGAGGGUGCGAGCGUUAAUCGGAUUUACUGGGCGUAAAGCGUGCGUAGGCGGCCAAUUAAGUCAAAUGUGAAAUCCCCGAGCUUAACUUGGGAAUUGCAUUCGAUACUGGUUGGCUAGAGUAUGGGAGAGGAUGGUAGAAUUCCAGGUGUAGCGGUGAAAUGCGUAGAGAUCUGGAGGAAUACCGAUGGCGAAGGCAGCCAUCUGGCCUAAUACUGACGCUGAGGUACGAAAGCAUGGGGAGCAAACAGGAUUAGAUACCCUGGUAGUCCAUGCCGUAAACGAUGUCUACUAG